ACUUAGAGUUGACUCGAGAAUAGUAGAAGUCAACUUGAGGCUAGUGCAGAAAAAUCUACUUUCUAUCUUUCUGAGAGAGUCGACUUGAGUAAUACUUGGAGUCAAUUCAAAGCUUAUGCUAUUUGAAAAAUGCUUUCAAAAUACUUCAAAUACUUCUCCAACUUAAUUUUUUUCAAGGUGUACUAUCUCAAACAUAUAUAAUUCAUCUUCAUUAACCAUACAAAGCCCCACAACAAGCAUGCAGACAUGCAUGAGAGGCUUCACACUUGAGUUAAUCCGCAUCAAGC
rnacentral:lncRNA from 1 species